rnacentral:rRNA from 1 species
AGCGGAGGAAAAGAAACCAACAGGGAUGUCCCUAAGUAACGGCGAGUGAACAGGCAAGAGCUCAGAUUUGAAAGGCACUUUUGUGCCGUUGUAUUCUGAAGUUAGGGUCCUGAGAAACGAUGCUUAAGUCUUCUGGAAAGGAGCGCCAUGGAGGGUGAUAGCCCCGUCUAGCAUUGACCUCAUAUAGGAUCUUAACAUGGAGUCGAGUUGUUUGGGAAUGCAGCUCAAAUGGGUGGUAUGCUCCAUCUAAAGCUAAAUAUCUGCGAGAGACCGAUAGUAAACAAGUACUGUGAGGGAAAGAUGAAAAGAACUUUGAAAAGAGAGUGAAAAAGUACGUGAAAUUGUUGAAAUGGAAGGGUAGGCCGCUAACCAUGUAGAGCCGUGUUUGGGGGGAAGAUAAAUGCUGUAGAAUGUAGCUCCUCGGAGUAUUAUAGAUGCAGUUCAUAUUCCCACCCGAGCGCGAGGAUCUCAGGUUCUACUAAAUGGUGGUCUACCACCCGUCUUGAAC